UACGGAGGAUGCGAGCGUUAUCCGGAUUUAUUGGGUUUAAAGGGUGCGUAGGCGGUCCGUUAAGUCAGUGGUAAAAUUGCGGGGCUCAACCCCGUCGAGCCGUUGAAACUGGCAGACUUGAGUUGGCGAGAAGUACGCGGAAUGCGCGGUGUAGCGGUGAAAUGCAUAGAUAUCGCGCAGAACUCCGAUUGCGAAGGCAGCGUACCGGCGCCAGACUGACGCUGAGGCACGAAAGCGUGGGGAUCGAACAGG
rnacentral:rRNA from 1 species